rnacentral:rRNA from 1 species
AGCGAACGCUGGCGGCAUGCUUAACACAUGCAAGUCGCACGGGCAGCAAUGUCAGUGGCGGACGGGUGAGUAACGCGUAGGAACGUGUCCUGAGGUGGGGGACAACCCCGGGAAACUGGGGCUAAUACCGCAUAUGGGCUGAGGCCCAAAGCCGAGAGGCGCCUUUGGAGCGGCCUGCGUCCGAUUAGGUAGUUGGUGGGGUAAAGGCCUACCAAGCCUGCGAUCGGUAGCUGGUCUGAGAGGACGACCAGCCACACUGGGACUGAGACACGGCCCAGACCCCCACGGGGAGGAACAAGUGGGAAUAAUGGACAAUGGGCGGAAGGCUUGACCAAGCAAGGCGGGGUGGGGGAGAAAGUCUUUGGGUCGGAAAAGCCUUUCGGCCGGGAACGAUGAUGCGGGUCCCCGAAGAAGAAGCCCCGGUUACUUCCGU